rnacentral:rRNA from 1 species
GGGGCGCUAGGCGGGUUCUUAAGUCUAGAGGGGAAAAGCGCUCCGGCUCACCCGGGGAGGGGUCAUUGGAAACUAGGGAACUUGAGUGCAGAAGAGGAGAGUAGAAAUUCCAAGUGUAGCGGUGAAAUGCGUAGAUAUUAGGAGGAACACCAGUAGCGAAGGCGGCUCUCUGGUCUGUAACUGACACUGAGGCUCGAAAGCGUGGGGAGCAAACAGGAUUAGAUACCCUGGUAGUCCACGCCGUAAACGAUGAGUGCUAAGUGUUGGAGGGUUUCCCCCCUUCAGUGGCGCAGCAAACGCAAUAUACUCUCCCCCUGGGGAAUACUGCCGCAAGGGUUAAACUCAAAAGAAUUGGCGGGGGCCCGCACAAACGGGGGAACAUGUGGUUUUAUUUGAAACCACGCGAAAAACCUUAUCAGGUUUUCACCUCCUUUGCCCAUUCUUAAUAUAGGGCUUUCCCUUCGGGGCCAAAGUGACAGGUGGUGCAUGGUUGUCGUCAGCUCGUGUCGUGAGAUGUUGGGUUAAGUCCCGCAACGAGCGCAACCCUUACUUUUAGUUGCCAUCAUUUAGUUGGGCACUUUAAAGGGACUGCCGGGGACAAAUCGGAGGAAGGUGGGGAUGACGUCAAAUCAUCAUGCCCCUUAUGACCUGGGCUACACACGUGCUACAAUGGGAAGUACAAAGAGUUGCCAAACCGCGAGGUGGAGCUAAUCUCUUAAAGCCUUUUUCAGUUCGGAUUGUAGGCUGCAACUUGCCUACAUGAAGCCGGAAUUGCUAGUAAUCGCGGAUCAGCACGCCGCGGUGAAUACGUUUCCGGGCCUUGUACACCCCCCCCGUCACCCCACGAGAGUUUGUAACCCCCGAAGUCGGUGGGGUAACCUUUUGUAGUCAGCCGCCUAC